rnacentral:lncRNA from 13 species
AUAGGGUUCAUCAUGAUGAAGUGCCCGGCUUGUGGUCACAUGCUGGCAGAAUCUUUUAAAUUCUGCUGUGACUGUGGAUUUAAGUUACCUGUCCAAUCCCAAGUUUGCACCUCAGGUAACUGCCAGGUAACCACUGCAGAGCAUCAGACCUCUGCGGUCAGUGAAGCAGAGCCCCAGCAUGAGAAUGAGCCACUGACAUUGUCCGCGAACAAAACUGACACACCUCUAAAACACUCCAGUGAAGAUCCAACGGGCAAUGUCAAGAAAAAGAGUGAAGACUCCCCCAGCAACACUGAGCUGACAACAGACACACAUCAGAAAGAGGAGUCGUCUGGGAGUGAGAGCUGUGCAGCGGUGGAUGUUCCCCCUACAGGAACUCCACCUAAGAACACUGCCACUCCUGCUGCCACUCCAACCGUACCCUCCAAACUUCCAACCUCUCUUAUCCCAUCCCCGUACCAGACAACCACGGAAGACCAACCCGAGGGUCCAUCAAAGGUAAAUGAAAGUGAACCGCUGGACGAGUCAAACACAAGCCAAACCCAACCUAGUUCAGUAAAAGAAGACUUGCCUGAGAAGACUGCCUCAUCCACACAUGAGACAACAGAUCAGAACACAGGACCUGCCUCAGUCCCAACUCAACCAGUAAGACAGCUGUCAUAUAAAGAAGCUCUGAUGGGAGAAACCACAGAGACAAGAACAGUAAAGAGGAAGCAGAGCGUGGAGAAUCAAGACAAGAGGCUUCCAAGCAAACACAAGGAACCAGAGAAGCAGAGUGAUUAUGGUGGUGGUGAUGCUUCUAAGUCAUCUACUGCUGAUUCCCCAACUGCAAAGGAAGAUAGUCCACCAAACCAAAGCAAUGACGAAGACUUCCAGCAGGUGGAAUCCCAAAAAAAUAAGGACAAGCAGAAAAAGCCAACCCAAAUGUAAGUUUAUAUAUUAAAUUGGUCCUUUCAAUUAAACCAUGUUACUUGUCAAAUCAAAUUAAACUAUUCAAUGCACAUUUUACAUAGACGUCACAACAGACUUCAUGGGAAGGAACAAGUAAUGCUUAAACUAUUACAAUUUGUUGGGGGAAUUAAUAUUAUAACACAAUGUAAUUAUGAAAGUAGUUUGUUUUAGAUGUUUUGAACUUCAGAAUAUUUUGACAUUUGGGAACCUCCUGCUUUCCAGGAGCCCUGAAGGGAGCAAGGAAGGGAGCCCUGAAGGGAGCCCUGAAGGGAGCAAGGAAGGGAGCCCUGAAGGGAGCAAGGAAGCUGGAGUCAUGAAUGAACAACAGACAUCCAGUAACCAGAGUGACAAGUGUACCAAGGAUGAAGCAAACUCACAGCCGUUUGUUGACCAAUCCCAAGUAUCAACUGAUGACCCAACAGAUAAGUCAAACACAAGACAGGAAGAAACAAAGAACGAAAACACGGAAAAGCAGUCACAGCCUCCCCAAUUGUAAGUGUCUGUCAUAGAUUGAAUGUGUCUAAUACAGGGCUACUGGCUGUGACAGUACAGUCGCAUUUGGCCACCCUUUGACUUGACUGAUUUGGUCAAACGGUAAGGUGAUUUAUCCUCAUGACUCCUGUAAUGAAAGUGUCUGUCCUGUGCCUGUUUUACACUGUUUAAUGAUCGAGAUUAAUCUUAUGGCUUUGAGAUAAAUACAGAGCUAGUAUCAGAGACGAAGAGGCUGGUAGUAGGAAAUCAAUUACAUGUAUUGAAUUAGAAAAUGAAUGAAUUUGCCCAAGUUGAUAAAAUAAGACAUGAACCGAAUGCAUCAGUAAUUAUUAUUUCCUGUAACUUUCUAACGAGGCAAUGAGAUGGGACUGCCCCGGUCUCAUCUGUGUGUGCUGUAGCCGUUAGGGAUGCUAAUGAUUUUUGUCUUCUGGUAGAUGGAGAAAGGCUUUCCCAAAAACUAGAAAGUAGCUAAUGGCAGAAUUAUAUCAUGAUUAUUUUUAAAAAAUCCAGUGGGUAUUUGUCUUGCAAACUCUAUCAUCACAUGUGCACUACAAAAACACAGCUAAACAACAGCCUCUUGCUAGGUGUGCACUGGAAUUAAAGGGUAACUACUGUACACUCAGGGGUGAAAGUAAGGCGGUACGAUCGAGUACAAAAUAAAUAGUGGGGGUAUGCAGUACCGGUAAAACAUGAGGCUAUCACAAUUCAUUAUAGUAAAAUGUCAAGAAAACUGUAGACUUUACACCAUUAUUUAUCAUUGCCGCAUGAUAGAGGCAUGAAACAUGUGUGAAUGGACUUGAAAACGGUUGGUAUAGGCUACGCUCCAAAAUGCAGUGUGAUUUGAUGAGAACGUUGACACUUUGCUAAGACAGAGAUGAUUGGCUGACACUGAGACGUUUGCGGACAGCAGUGGACACAUCCAUUCUGGUCUAAUGACAAUUUGCAAACGUCUUUAAACUUUUUGGUGUUUUGUAUAAAAUAUGUCUCUUUUCAUUCACCACUGUUUGGAGGCUGGGCAAUUAUUGUUUGACAAUCAGAUGAAAACAUAUGGUUGUGUUUCUGCCACAAUAAAAGGUAAUACAUUUUAAAAGGAUAAAUGAAAAAUCUUUACGACUAGGCUCACACGCAAGCGCGUGCACACAUACUUUAGGAGGUCCCGUAUUGGGAAGAAAUUAAAUCUACUUUCACCCCUGACUACACUCCAAAAUCGAAAUAUCUUACAUUUUUCCAAUACCUCAAAUUGUCUCCUGAUGUGGUGUAAGCAUUGUUGUUUUUCUAACAAAAAAAGCGUGAUUUCUAGAAAUACCUGAAAAUCAAAACCUGGUAUAACAAAAAAAAACAUUUUUUUUUGUUGUGAAAAACUAAACGGAAUUUGGCAAAAAAACAAAACAUAGAUUUGAUAGAGUUCCCACUUCCGCAGUUGGUGAAUUAGCAGCAAUUGAAUUAGUCCAAUAUGUCAUAUUAGUGCAGGUAAAGAUGAAGGCAAAUCUCUAUUGAACCCCACAAAAUCAUUCUUUAGGCCUAUUUUAUAACAAUAAUAGCCUAAUUGUCAACCCAAAAUUCAUGACAAUCACUGAAUUAGGUUGCAUAUCAAAAUAUCUUAAUCAUGCAUUCUUGCUUGGACGUGUUAGAUGUAACAACUUAUUUAUUGAAUACCAUCUCAGUAGUUUAUUACACUUCUUAUUAAUCAUUGUGAAUUACCUUAUAAGAUUACACAUUUUUCUAUAGUAAAAGUUUUCGAGUGCCAACAAAUCAUGGUUGAGUGCUACCAACUGAAAAAGCAGUGCUACCAAAUCAUGGUCAAGGGCUACCAAAUCAAGGUCAAGUGCUACCAACUGAAAAAGCAGUGCUACCAAAUCAUGGUC